CCUACGGGAGGCAGCAGUGGGGAAUCUUGCGCAAUGGGCGAAAGCCUGACGCAGCCAUGCCGCGUGAAUGAUGAAGGUCUUAGGAUUGUAAAAUUCUUUCAGUAGGGACGAUAAUGACGGUACCUACAGAAGAAGCCCCGGCUAACUUCGUGCCAGCAGCCGCGGUAAUACGAAGGGGGCUAGCGUUGCUCGGAAUUACUGGGCGUAAAGGGAGCGUAGGCGGGUUAUCAAGUUGGAGGUGAAAGCCCAGGGCUCAACCUUGGAAUUGCCUUCAAAACUGAUAGCCUAGAGUAUGAUAGAGGUAUGUGGAACUCCGAGUGUAGAGGUGAAAUUCGUAGAUAUUCGGAAGAACACCAGUGGCGAAGGCGACAUACUGGGUCAUGACUGACGCUGAGGCUCGAAAGCGUGGGGAGCAAACAGGAUUAGAUACCCUGGUAGUCCCACGCUGUAAACGAAUAGAUUAGUCUAGUUAGUUCGGUACGGGACGAUGUCCGGUUCCGGGUUCGGUACGCGACGACGUAACCGACCAUUAAGUACAACGUACCGCCGUCGGGGUAGGGUACGGGUACCGGACCGAACGAAAGUUAAAACUUUAAAAAGUUAAGUUAAAGUUAGUACGGACGUUGAGACGUUGCCGAACGGACGACGACGAGGGGAGGAGG
rnacentral:rRNA from 1 species